AUGUCGUGGCAGACGUACGUCGACGAGCACCUGAUGUGCGACAUCGAGGGCCACCACCUCGCCUCCGCGGCCAUCCUCGGCCACGACGGCACCGUCUGGGCCCAGAGCGCCGACUUCCCCCAGUUCGCGCCCGCCGAGAUCACUGCCAUCAUGAAGGACUUCGACGAGCCGGGGCACCUCGCCCCCACCGGCAUGUUCGUUGCAGGUGCCAAGUACAUGGUCAUCCAGGGUGAACCUGGCGCUGUCAUCCGUGGCAAGAAGGUAUGCACGCAUGCAUCUCUCGAUCGUUUUCUAGAAUUAUAUAUGUUCUUGAAAAAUUGA
rnacentral:rRNA from 1 species